rnacentral:misc_RNA from 1 species
GGUGAAGAACGUAGCGAAAUGCGAUAAGUAAUGUGAAUUGCAGAAUUCAGUGAAUCAUCGAAUCUUUGAACGCACAUUGCGCCCCCUGGUAUUCCGGGGGGCAUGCCUGUUCGAGCGUCAUUUCAACCCUCAAGCUCUGCUUGGUAUUGAGUCCAUGUCAGCAAUGGCAGGCUCCAAAAUCAGUGGCGGCGCCGCUGGGUCCUGAACGUAGUAAUAUCUCUCGUUACAGGUGCUCGGCGUGCUUCUGCCAAAACCCCAAUUUUUCUAUGGUUGACCUCGGAUCAGGUAGGGAUACCCGCUGAACUUAAGCAUAUCAAUAAGCGGAGGA